GAUGAACGCUGGCGGCGCGCCUAAUACAUGCAAGUCGAGCGAACAGACGAGGAGAUUGCUCCUCUGAAGUUAGCGGCGGACGGGUGAGUAACACGUGGAUAACCUACCUAUAAGACUGGGAUAACUUCGGGAAACCGGAGCUAAUACCGGAUAAUAUAUUGAACCGCAUGGUCCAAUAGUGAAAGACGGUUUUGCUGUCACUUAUAGAUGGAUCCGCGCCGCAUUAGCUAGUUGGUAAGGUAACGGCUUACCAAGGCAACGAUGCGUAGCCGACCUGAGAGGGUGAUCGGCCACACUGGAACUGAGACACCGUCCAGACUCCUACGGGAGGCAGCAGCAGGGAAUCUUCCGCAAUGCGCGAAAGCCUGACGGAGCAACGCCGCGUGAGUCAUGAAGGUCCUCGGAUCGUAAAACUCUCUUAUUCGGGAACAACAAGUGUGUAAGUACCUAUGCCCAUCUUGACGGUACCUAAUCAGAAAGCUGCGGCUAACUACGUG
rnacentral:rRNA from 1 species